rnacentral:rRNA from 2 species
UGGGAUAACUCCGGGAAACCGGGGCUAAUACCGGAUGGUUGUUUGAACCGCAUGGUUCAAACAUAAAAGGUGGCUUCGGCUACCACUUACAGAUGGACCCGCGGCGCAUUAGCUAGUUGGUGAGGUAACGGCUCACCAAGGCAACGAUGCGUAGCCGACCUGAGAGGGUGAUCGGCCACACUGGGACUGAGACACGGCCCAGACUCCUACGGGAGGCAGCAGUAGGGAAUCUUCCGCAAUGGACGAAAGUCUGACGGAGCAACGCCGCGUGAGUGAUGAAGGUUUUCGGAUCGUAAAGCUCUGUUGUUAGGGAAGAACAAGUACCGUUCGAAUAGGGCGGUACCUUGACGGUACCUAACCAGAAAGCCACGGCUAACUACGUGCCAGCAGCCGCGGUAAUACGUAGGUGGCAAGCGUUGUCCGGAAUUAUUGGGCGUAAAGGGCUCGCAGGCGGUUUCUUAAGUCUGAUGUGAAAGC